AGCCCUCUGGCUACCUCCACAGUGGAGUGGAUGAAUGGGUGAGCACACAGCUGAGUGAUAUGUGUGACCUACCUGUUACGACGUGGCACAUUACCCUUCUGAGC